UCGUUUCGACGUCGCUUGGGUUCCUCGUUUCUUCCCUGUGGUCCUCGUGGUGGCCUCGUGGCCCUUGUGGUGGCCCUUGGGUCCCCCGGGGUGGCCUCGUGGCCCUUGGGUCCCCCGGGGUGGCCUCGUGGCCCUUGGGUGCCCCGGGGUGUUUCCACGUCAUUUUGACGUCCCUUGGGUUCCUCGUUUCAUCCUCGUGGCCCUCAAGGUGGUCUUCGUGGUGGCCUCGUGGCCCUUGGGUUGUCUCGUGGUGGCCUCGUGGCCGCCAGGUGGCCCUUGGGUCCCCCGGGGUGGCCUCAGUGGCCCUUGGGUGCCCCGGGGUGUUUCCACGUCGUUUCGGUGUCACUCAAGUCCCUUUUUUCAUCCCCGUGCCCUUCGUGGUGGCCCCAUGUCCGUCAGGUCCCCCGUGGUGGCCCCCGUGGUGGCCUCGUGGUCCUCAUGUCCCACAGGUGGCCCUUGGGUCCCCUGGGGUGGCCUCGUGGCCCUUGGGUGCCCCGUGGUGUUUCCACAUCGUUUCGAUGUCACUUGGGUCCCUGUUUUCUUCCCCAUGGCCUUCGUGGUGGCCUCGUGGCCCUUCUGGUGGCCCUCAUGGUGGCCCUCGUGGGCCUCGGGGUCCCCCAGGUGGCCCUUGGGUGAUCCGGGGGGUCCUCAGGUCCCCCAGGUGGCCCUUGGGUGCCCCAGGGUGGUUCCACGUCACCUCGACGUCGCUUGGGUUCCUUGAUUCUUCCCCGUGGUCCUCGUGGUGGUCACCGUGGCCUUCAUGGUGGCCCUCGUGGUCCUUGGGUGUCCCGUGGUGGCCUCGGGUCCCCUAGGUGGCCCUUGGGUCCCCCGGGGUGGCCUCGUGGCCCUUGGGUGCCCCGGGGUGUUCCCGCGUCGUUUCGACGUCCCUUGGGUUCCUCGUUUCGUCCUCGUGGCCCUCAAGGUGGCCUUCGUGGUGGCCUCGUGGCCCUUGGGUGUCCCGUGGUGGCCUCGUGGCCCUUGGGUGCCCCGGGGUAUUUCUACGUCACUCGGGUCCCCCGCGGUGUCCCUGUGGUGCCCCCACGUCCUUCAGGACCUCCGUGAUGUCCCCACGUCCCCCCCUCGGUGUCCCUCUGGCGUCCCCAUGACCUUCAGGUCCCCCACAACGUCGCCGUGGUGUCCCCGGGCCCCCCGUGGUGUCCCCACCAGCACGAGGUCCUCGUGUCCCCCCCCCCCCCCCCCCGCAACGUCCCCAGGUGGCCACCACGUCCCACGUGUCCUCUUUGGGGGGGUCACCACGUCCCUUUUUGGGGUCACCACGUCCCUUUUUGGGGUCACCACGUCCCCUUGGCGGCAUCAUCACGCUCCUGGCCCCCGUGGCGUCCCCAAGUCCACCCAGGCGUCCCCCCCCCAUGCCCCGUGGCGUCCCCCCCCGCCCCGUGGUGUCCGCCCCCCCCCCGACCCCGUGGCGUCCCCACGUUCUCCCCAACGGCCACCGUGUCCCUCACGAGGCCACCGUGUC